GAUGAACGCUGGCGGCGUGCCUAAUACAUGCAAGUCGAGCGAAUGGAUUAAGAGCUUGCUCUUAUGAAGUUAGCGGCGGACGGGUGAGUAACACGUGGGUAACCUGCCCAUAAGACUGGGAUAACUCCGGGAAACCGGGGCUAAUACCGGAUAACAUUUUGAACCGCAUGGUUCGAAAUUGAAAGGCGGCUUCGGCUGUCACUUAUGGAUGGACCCGCGUCGCAUUAGCUAGUUGGUGAGGUAACGGCUCACCAAGGCAACGAUGCGUAGCCGACCUGAGAGGGUGAUCGGCAACACUGAGACUGAGACACGGCCCAGACUCAUACGGGAGGCAGCAGUAGGGAAUCUUCCGCAAUGGACGAAAGUCUGACGGAGCAACGCCGCGUGAGUGAUGAAGGCUUUCGGGUCGUAAAACUCUGUUGUUAGGGAAGAACAAGUGCUAGUUGAAUAAGCUGGCACCUUGACGGUACCUAACCAGAAAGCCACGGCUAACUACGUGCCAGCAGCCGCCGUAA
rnacentral:rRNA from 1 species